GCCAAGACUACCACCACCACCACCACUCAGCCCACGCCUCCUUCAUUACACACAGACACAUACUAGUGGAUUAUUUAGCCUCAUAACUACCCUGCAAUAUGUUCAGUGCCCUCCUGCGUCACCAGCCGAGGAGGUGAUACACAUCUAAUAAACCUUCAGUGGAGAUGGAGAGGAAACACUCACAGCAACAAACACCCCGAUGAUGACAGUGGCUGUGUUGGUCGUUGACUCAUCAGAAACCUCAAGCCUCUCGUCUUUGGAAACUUCACAGCGCAGUCCAGAAUGACCCUCCGGACAACUGAAAUGCAGACACAAAGCACUCCCAGAAACAUGGACUGGCUGAAAAUUAUGGGAAGAGAGAAAAACAAUAUUCAUGGGAAGCCAUUCCAUAAAGAAACCCACCCCAAGAAGUCCCAAGCUCAAUAAACCGUGAGUGAACAAA